GAUGAACGCUGGCGGCGUGCCUAAUACAUGCAAGUCGAGCGAACAGACGAGGAGCUUGCUCCUCUGACGUUAGCGGCGGACGGGUGAGUAACACGUGGAUAACCUACCUAUAAGACUGGGAUAACUUCGGGAAACCGGAGCUAAUACCGGAUAAUAUAUUGAACCGCAUGGUUCAAUAGUGAAAGACGGUUUUGCUGUCACUUAUCGAUGGAUCCGCGCCGCAUUAGCUAGUUGGUAAGGUAACGGCUUACCACGGCAACGAUGCGUAGCCGACCUGAGAGGGUGAUAGGCCACACGGGAGCUGAGACACGGUCCAGACGCCUACGGGAGGCAGCAGUAGGGAAUCGUCCGCAAUGGGCGAAAGCUUGACGGAGCAACGCCGCGUGAGUGAUGAAGGUCUUCGGAUCGUAAAACUCUGUUAUUAGGGAAGAACAAAUGUGUAAGUAACUAUGCACGUCUUGACGGUACCUAAUCAGAAAGCCACGGCUAACUACGUG
rnacentral:rRNA from 1 species